rnacentral:rRNA from 1 species
UACGUAGGGACCAAGCGUUGUUCGGAUUUACUGGGCGUAAAGGGCGCGUAGGCGGCAUGACAAGUCACUUGUGAAAUCUCCGGGCUUAACUCGGAACGGUCAAGUGAUACUGUCGCGCUAGAGUGCGGAAGGGGCAAUCAGAAUUCUUGGUGUAGCGGUGAAAAUGCGUAGAUAUCAAGAGGAAUACCUGAGGUGAAGACGGGUUGCUAGGCCGACACUGACGCUGAAGCGACGAAAGCCAGGGGAGCAAACGGG